UCUGCCUCCCUCACUCUGUCACUGUAGUGCUCUCUUACAGUCUCUGUCUAACUUUUAGAUUAGAGUGUUGCGGAAUUAAUCCGAAAGCUACAAGAAAAACUUGAAGACAAAACACUAAAUCAACAAAGAAUGUUAAAACUGACUUUUCCAAUGAAGGGCGCAUUAUCCUGCUGAAAGAGGCCAAUGCCAUCAGG